rnacentral:rRNA from 1 species
AUGAAAGAAGUAAAGAGGAUCAUCUGUGAAUCAAGCUUGGGAGUGGUCAUCGCAGACUCUACAGCAUCCUUGUCGAUGGUUCUGACAGCAUCAACAGACGCUAGGACAUUGUUGUCCUGGAGGUGCAUGCCUCCAUGGACAGAGGAAAGUGGAAAAUUAUGCCUCAGACAGGCCAUAGUAUUCGAACCACCUGAAAAUAUGCAACAUUAUUAUCAAUGUAGCACAGCACACAAUCUGAUUGGUGAAGAUUGCAAGCAACAAAAAUGUAUGUACCCACAAAUAUCAAAAAGACCCAAACACUGGGAGGACACAAUUAAUAGACUACUUCUUGAAUGCUCAAGGUAA